UUACGCUGUUAUCCCUUAGGUAAUUUAGUCUUAUAAUCAAUAUAAAUGGAUCAAAUACAUAUAAAUAAAUAUAAAAUAAAUAAAAAGAGUUAAUUAAAUCUUUCCAUCACCCCAACAAAAUAAAUUUUUACAUUAGAAAUUUUCAUACAAAAAAAAUAAAAAUAUAUAAAACUCUAUAGGGUCUUCUCGUCCCAAAAAAACAUUUAGGCAUUUUAACCUAAAAUUUAAGUUCAAAAAAAAAUAAAGACAGUUAACACCUCGUCAAACCAUUCAUUCCAGCCUACAAUUAAAAGACUAAUGAUUAUGCUACCUUUGCACGGUCAAAAUACCGCGGCCCUUCAAUAUUCAAGUGGGCAGGCCAUACAUCAAAAUAUAUUCAAGAAGAGAUGUUUUUGAUAAACAGGCG
rnacentral:rRNA from 1 species